rnacentral:tRNA from 1 species
UUCCUGGUGGCUCAGGGGUUAAAGCGUCUGCCUGCAAUGCGGGAGGCCCAGGUUCAAUCCCUGCGUCGGGAA